rnacentral:ncRNA from 2 species
AAACAACGCCAGGGGUGCUAUUCGCUGAGAGCCCGCGCAUGCCGCGGGCAACCCGUUGAACCUGAUCCGGGUAAUGCCGGCGCAGGGAGCGAUGAUCUCUACGA